UAGGUAGACAGCAAGAUUCCCGAUGCCCAGGCAAGUCAUGAAUUUACUCUGACUGGGUUCUUAACCGCCUUAGCCGGUGCCAAUCUGAUUUAUGGCGCCG
rfam:Desulfitobacterium hafniense Y51 DNA, complete genome.